AUCGAACCGAAUGGAAUAUUGGUGCUAAUCUGAAUGGAAUGUUGGAUCCUUAUGCAAUCAUCACUUGUGGUUCAGAAAAGCGGUUUAGUGAAAUUGGCUGAAUUUAUGAAAUGUUUUUAGAGCUUUAUUGGAAGAACCGAGACGAGAGGGUUUUUGAACUAAAGUAUAUGGAUACAUCAACACAUCUCCUGGAAAGUAUAAAGGCAGAAUGAAAUCAUACCGGUGGAUGGUUAAAAGGAGAAAAAUUGCGGAUCUCACCUUAGAUAGCUGGAACAAUUUUGUAAAACUUGGAUUUUGUAUAGGCUUCUCUGUAGUUUGUUUGUUGUUUUUGUUCUAUUUGGGGUGUAUUUGUUCUUAUGUUAUGGCUAAUAUAGCAGUUAUCAGAUAGAAGCAUUAGCUCAGGCAAUUAAGGAGAACACUGUAGUGUUCUUUGAGACGGGAUCAGGCAAGACGUUGAUCGCGAUUAUGCUUUUAUGUCACUACGCUUAUCUGCUGAAAAAACCCUCCCCAUGUAUUGAUGUGUUCUUGGUAGUUGGUACCCACUGUUGUAUUGGUUAAACAGCAAGCGGAGUAUGCGAGAAAGCACCUUGAUUUGAAAGUGGAGGAGUAUUGGGGUGAAAAAGGUGUUGAUUUUUGGAAUGCUGCUGAUUUGAAGAAACAACGAUAUCAGAAUCAGGUAUGACAAGUCAACAUUUGACUUUUUUGUUGACCGCAUACAAUCUCAUCAGAAUUUUGACUAAUGAUCAAAUACGUAAAGUACCCCUG